UCGGGAAUUUUGGGCAAUGGGCGAAAGCCUGACCCAGCAACGCCGCGUGAAGGAUGAAGUAUUUCGGUAUGUAAACUUCGAAAGAAUAGGAAGAAUAAAUGACGGUACUAUUUAUAAGGUCCGGCUAACUACGUGCCAGCAGCCGCGGUAAUACGUAGGGACCAAGCGUUGUUCGGAAUUACUGGGCGUAAAGCGCGUGUAGGCGGCUCUUCAAGUCAGACGUGAAAGCCCCAGGCUCAACCUGGGAACUGCGUUUGAUACUGUCGAGCUAGAGUGUGGAAGGGGCAAUCGGAAUUCUUGGUGUAGCGGUGAAAUGCGUAGAUAUCAAGAGGAACACCUGAGGUGAAGACGGGUUGCUGGGCUGACACUGACGCUGAGGCGCGAAAGCCAGGGGAGCAAACGGGAUUAGAUACCCAUGUAGUCCCUGAGCGGGCUGGCAAGGCGCAU
rnacentral:rRNA from 1 species